AACUGUAACUAUGCAAACAAAGAGAACAAUAUAGUAGUCACAGCCUAUGCUUCAGAGUAUCAAUUGAUUGCCUGCAGAGGACCAGGGAAGAAUCUCCACCACUAAAAACUGGGCCAAUAUGUCAUUGAAUAAUUACCUAGCUUUCCCCAAGAAUUGUACUGUGACUCUUUUUAUAUUUUUAUUUUUUGCAUCCAUUUUUGAUUCUAGACAGACUCUUGCAUGGGGGGCUCAUCUCCAUCGGCUCGCUCUACUUUAGCGAGUCUCAGCCCCAGAGGGUUUUCCAGUGCUGCCACCUUCACCGUGCAGUUCCAUCAGUUUGCCCAAUUCAAACUUGGCUUCUUAAGCAUCUUCACUUUGCGGACAUACACAUAAUGAAGCGGAAGAGCACAUGUCUGACCUCCA